rnacentral:rRNA from 1 species
GAUAUGUGAAUACAUAGCAUAUCAGAAGGCACACCCGGAGAACUGAAACAUCUUAGUACCCGGAGGAAGAGAAAGAAAAUUCGAUUCCCUUAGUAGCGGCGAGCGAAACGGGAAGAGCCCAAACCAACAAGCUUGCUUGUUGGGGUUGUAGGACACUCUAUACGGAGUUACAAAGGACGACAUUAGACGAAUCAUCUGGAAAGAUGAAUCAAAGAAGGUAAUAAUCCUGUAGUCGAAAAUGUUGUCUCUCUUGAGUGGAUCCUGAGUACGACGGAGCACGUGAAAUUCCGUCGGAAUCUGGGAGGACCAUCUCCUAAGGCUAAAUACUCUCUAGUGACCGAUAGUGAACCAGUACCGUGAGGGAAAGGUGAAAAGCACCCCGGAAGGGGAGUGAAAUAGAACCUGAAACCGUGUGCUUACAAGUAGUCAGAGCCCGUUAAUGGGUGAUGGCGUGCCUUUUGUAGAAUGAACCGGCGAGUUACGAUUUGAUGCAAGGUUAAGCAGUAAAUGUGGAGCCGUAGCGAAAGCGAGUCUGAAUAGGGCGUUUAGUAUUUGGUCGUAGACCCGAAACCAGGUGAUCUACCCUUGGUCAGGUUGAAGUUCAGGUAACACUGAAUGGAGGACCGAACCGACUUACGUUGAAAAGUGAGCGGAUGAACUGAGGGUAGCGGAGAAAUUCCAAUCGAACCUGGAGAUAGCUGGUUCUCUCCGAAAUAGCUUUAGGGCUAGCCUCAAGUGAUGAUUAUUGGAGGUAGAGCACUGUUUGGACGAGGGGCCCCUCUCGGGUUACCGAAUUCAGACAAACUCCGAAUGCCAAUUAAUUUAACUUGGGAGUCAGAACAUGGGUGAUAAGGUCCGUGUUCGAAAGGGAAACAGCCCAGACCACCAGCUAAGGUCCCAAAAUAUAUGUUAAGUGGAAAAGGAUGUGGCGUUGCCCAGACAACUAGGAUGUUGGCUUAGAAGCAGCCAUCAUUUAAAGAGUGCGUAAUAGCUCACUAGUCGAGUGACACUGCGCCGAAAAUGUACCGGGGCUAAACAUAUUACCGAAGCUGUGGAUUGUCCUUUGGACAAUGGUAGGAGAGCGUUCUAAGGGCGUUGAAGCAUGAUCGUAAGGACAUGUGGAGCGCUUAGAAGUGAGAAUGCCGGUGUGAGUAGCGAAAGACGGGUGAGAAUCCCGUCCACCGAUUGACUAAGGUUUCCAGAGGAAGGCUCGUCCGCUCUGGGUUAGUCGGGUCCUAAGCUGAGGCCGACAGGCGUAGGCGAUGGAUAACAGGUUGAUAUUCCUGUACCACCUAUAAUCGUUUUAAUCGAUGGGGGGACGCAGUAGGAUAGGCGAAGCGUGCGAUUGGAUUGCACGUCUAAGCAGUAAGGCUGAGUAUUAGGCAAAUCCGGUACUCGUUAAGGCUGAGCU